ACUCCACCAACACCCAUUGUUGACCCAGGCACACCCAUCAUUGGAGAAACCCCACCAACUCCUUCCGGUGGAUAUUACUCAUCUCCUCCACCAAGUACUCCAGUCGUUGAGACUCCACCAACACCUAUUGUUGACCCAGGCACACCCAUCAUUGGAGAAACCCCACCAACUCCUUCCGGUGGAUAUUACUCAUCUCCUCCACCAAGUACUCCCAUUGUUGUAACUCCACCAACACCCAUUGUUGACCCAGGCACACCCAUCAUUGGAGGAACCCCACCAACUCCUUUUAUUGACCCUGGCACUCCUGGAACCCCCUUCCUUCCUGCUCCUUUUCCACCAAUCACUGGAACAUGCGA
rnacentral:lncRNA from 1 species